rnacentral:rRNA from 1 species
UACGAAGGGGGCUAGCGUUGCUCGGAAUGACUGGGCGUAAAGGGCGCGUCGGCGGCUUACAUAGUUAGGCGUGAAAUUCCUGGGCUCAACCUGGGGACUGCGUCUAAUACAUGUAGGCUUGAGUGUGAAAGAGGGUCGCGGAAUUUCCAGUGUAGAGGUGAAAUUCGUAGAUAUUGGAAAGAACACCGGUGGCGAAGGCGGCGACCUGGUCCUUGACUGACGCUGAGGCGCGAAAGCGUGUGGAGCAAACAGG